CCCUUUGUACACACCGCCCGUCGCUACUACCGAUUGAAUGGUUUAGUGAAGCCGUUGGAUUGGUUUCGUUGCAGUGGCUUUGCCGCUCGACAGAUGCCAAGAAGACGACCUAACUUGACUAUUUAGGGGAAGGAAAAGUCUUAACAAGGUUUCCGUUGGUGAACCUGCGGAAGGAUCAUUA
rnacentral:ncRNA from 1 species